ensembl:lncRNA
GAAGGCCUUAUGACAAUGAAUGCUCUCUCCCUGCACAAAGAACUGAUAUAGUCUAAAUGUAGAUCAAACUUUAUUUUUUACUUUUUUUAUUUAUGUGUGUUUUUAUUUGGAGGUUUUGGCUUUAUCGACAUGGUCUUCAUGGUGAGGCAAAUGCAGGAAAAAUGCCUUGAGCAGAACCUGAGCCUCUACAUUGUCUUCAUAGACCUGACAAAGGCGUUCGACACAGUGAACAGGGACACAUUGUGGGCGAUCCUUAGCAAGCUCGGUUGCCCAACAAAAUUCGUCAAACUGAUCCAGCUCUUUCAUGUCGACAUGACAGGGGAAGUCCUAUCUGGUGGAGAGACUUCCGAUCGCUUCAACAUCUCCAAUGGUGUGAAACAAGGCUGUGUCCUCGCUCCGGUACUAUUCAACCUAUACUUCACCCAAGUAUUACGACAUGCUGUGAUGGAUCUAGACCUGGGCGUCUACAUCAAAUACCGACUAGAUGGCUCACUAUUCGACCUUCGCCACCUGACUGCAAAAACAAAGACAACAGAGAGACUCAUCGUGGAAGCUCUCUUCACAGAUGACUGUGCUCUCAUGGCCCACCAAGAAAAUCAUCUCCAAACCAUUGUGGACAGGUUCUCCACCGCAACAAAACUGUUUGGCCUGACUAUCAGCCUCAGCAAAACAGAGGUGCUGUUCCAACCUGCACCAGGGAGGCCAACGAACCAGCCGUGCAUUACAAUCGACGGCACGCAGCUUUCUAAUGUCAACACUUUCAAGUACCUGGGCAGCACCAUUGCCAACGACGGGUCCCUAGACCAUGAGAUCAAUGCCAGGAUCCAAAAGGCCAGCCAGGCACUCGGGUGGCUGUGCUGCAAAGUCCUCCAACACAGAGAUGUAAGCACUGCGACGAAGCUCAAAGUGUAUAAUGCAGUGGUCCUCAGCUCGCUCCUGUAUGGUUGCGAGACAUGGACACUGUACAGGAAGCACAUGAAACAGCUGGAGCAAUUCCACCAACGCUCCCUCCGGUCAAUCAUGAGGAUCCGAUGGCAGGACCGAAUCACCAAUCAGGAAGUCCUCGACAGAGCCAACUCCACCAGCAUCGAAGUCCUGGUCCUCAAAACCCAGCUACAAUGGUCUGGACACGUCAUCCGCAUGGACCCACAGCGAUUACCAAGACAGGUAUUCUACGGUGAACUGUCAGCUGGACUCAGGAAACAAGGCCGACCAAGAAAAGAUUCAAGGAUCAGCUAAAGUCCAACUUGAAGUGGGCUGGCAUUACACCAAAGCAACUAGAACUCGCUGCCUCUGACAGAAGCAGCUGGCGAACCCACAUUCACCAUGCCGCCACCACCUUUGAAGAUGAGCGAUGUCAACGUCUUGC